rnacentral:snoRNA from 1 species
GAUGAGCACAAGGGUCUGAGGACACUGAAGGACUGGAGUGCAGAAGUCAAUCUGA